AAGCGGAGGAAAAGAAACCAACAGGGAUUGCCUCAGUAGCGGCGAGUGAAGCGGCAAGAGCUCAGAUUUGAAAUCGUGCUUUGCGGCACGAGUUGUAGAUUGCAGGUUGGAGUCUGUGUGGAAGGCGGUGUCCAAGUCCCUUGGAACAGGGCGCCCAGGAGGGUGAGAGCCCCGUGGGAUGCCGGCGGAAGCAGUGAGGCCCUUCUGACGAGUCGAGUUGUUUGGGAAUGCAGCUCCAAGCGGGUGGUAAAUUCCAUCUAAGGCUAAAUACUGGCGAGAGACCGAUAGCGAACAAGUACUGUGAAGGAAAGAUGAAAAGCACUUUGAAAAGAGAGUGAAACAGCACGUGAAAUUGUUGAAAGGGAAGGGUAUUGCGCCCGACAUGGGGAUUGCGCACCGCUGCCUCUCGUGGGCGGCGCUCUGGGCUUUCCCUGGGCCAGCAUCGGUUCUUGCUGCAGGAGAAGGGGUUCUGGAACGUGGCUCUUCGGAGUGUUAUAGCCAGGGCCAGAUGCUGCGUGCGGGGACCGAGGACUGCGGCC
rnacentral:rRNA from 1 species